GGCACAUGCCACUAUGCCCAGCUACUUUUUGUAUUUUUAGUAGAGGUGGGGUCUCACCAUCUCUACUGACCUGACCUGAUGGGGUCAGGCUGGUCUCGAACUCCUGACCUCGUGAUCCACCUGCCUCGGCCUCCCAAAAUGCUCGGAUUAUAGGUGUGAGCCACUGUGCCUGGUCUCUUGGCUUUUUCUUUAAAAUAUACCCAAUUAUUUCUCACCAUCUCCCUGCCAAUGCCCAUCAGCCUAGUCAUGGUGAGUGCCAUCGUCUCAUCAUUUGGGUUGCUGCAAUCCUCUUCUAUUGUUGACUCCACCCCUUGUAGUCUAUUCUCAACCAAGCAUUGAGGCAAUCCUUUUGUCAGCAGAUUAUGUCACUCUGCUUAAAUUCCUAGAUUGGCUUUUUGUUACAAUGACCUUCAAAGGGCAGAUUUGCAGAAGACCGAUCCCUUCUAGAAUUAAUCUCUGUGCCUUCUCUGGUAACUAUGGCAAUAAUGGCAAUGUCACUGUGUCCCUCUGAAUGACUGAUUUCCACUGGAGGUACCAUGUUCAGGGCCAGGCAGGAGUUGGAGAGAGCUUAGGUCAGGAUGGACUUGAACUGCCAAAGUUCCCAUCAGUUCUGUGGUUAGUAUAUGUCCCUUUCAAGUGGAGGCACAUGCAAACAGCAAAAAGAUGCUUCUUCAAACUGAACCAAAGUUGGAAUUAAGAGAAACGUGCUAGUAAGUUUCAUGGAAUAUGAAAGUAUCUUCAUUGCAAUUAGUUUUAAGACCCUGGCCCUAAGCUUUCCUUCCUCCUUAGGGAGAAAGCAUGAUAGGAAGGAAAAGCAGAGGAAACAGUACCCAGGAAGACCCGUAUUUGGAUCCUUGCUCUUCCACCAUGGAAGAAUAGAGUAUUUUUCAGGAAAUGUUCACUUCUUCCUCAUCUUCAUCUCCUUGGGAGGAUUUUCAUGUUGAGCUUGGCCAUAUGGCUUCUUUGGCUUGUGGAAGUGGACAGAGUGAAUGUGUGAGUUUCAUGACUAGGCCUUAAGUCACAUCACUUAUUUCUUCCCUCUACCAUGAGAACUACUUGCCCUGGAUAUCAUCUCGAUCCUAGAAAAAUGAGAGCCAGGUGGAGCUGAGCUGCUUCAGCUCACUCGCAGACCUGUAACUGGAAGCAGAGCCACCCCUGCCAACCCACAGAGGCAGCAAUAAGAAAUCAAUGCUUAUCAUUGAAUGCUUGUUUAUUACGCAUUUAUAAGUUGCUGACUGAUACAGCCAUUAAAUGUGUGUCAUUGGUCAAAUGACUUCACCUCUUGAAGUCUUGAUUUUUCCCAUCUGUAAACUGGGGAUGGCAAUCAUACCUCUCUGAAGGACUUCAUUAGCACUAGGUAAGGGGCCUGCAUGUAAAGCAUAGACCUUGGUGUGUGGAAAGUGCUCAGUAAGCAUCAUCUCCAUAAUCCUGUGGCUCAGCACCUUGCAGAGUGGAUACUACAUCUAAAUGAGCAGAGCAAAUUGAAGCUAUGCUGGUGUGAAGUUCUGGGUAGCAGCAGUAGAAAGGGCAGGGGUGGAGGUUAGGUGUCCCUCAGUAGCAUGGUAGAAAUGGUGGGGUGGGGGGUUGAUUUCUGUCUCUAGCACACUUAGAAGGACAGAAGCAGGAUACCCUGAUGGGGCCGCCUGAGUUGUCUUCAUCAUAACCUGAAUUUAUGAGCCAGUGCUGGCCUAACCUGCUGCCUGUUGGAGAGCCUCGGGAGAGACUUCCAGUCUUGUGUUUCCCACCCACUGGCUGUGUUCUAGUGAAUGACUCCUGUUCCAGACUCCCCUGCCUGCCACUGGGCCAACUUUCUGGCUGCCGUAGGGACAAAAGAGAGCUGUGGUUUUCUGCUGUGCAAAUCAAUCCCUUUCUGCCACAGUGUCCUGGGCAAAGCAAUGUUGAGGUCAUUCCCAUGAAUUGGCCAUCAUUAUCCCUGCAGUGCUGCUCCCUUCAGGUAUGUGACAAAGGUCACUACAGAGGACAUCUCCAUUACUCCCUGCUGGAUUAUAGGAGCUCAAAAUUCUUGUUAUUAGGGUUAUUAGGGGGCCUAAAUCAACUACCUUUCCCCAUGCAGGCCAGGAUCUCUUUAUCUUGCUUUGGCUCCCCUUUCUUUUCCCUGGGCCCUGAGAGGUAUAGAGUAUGGAGAUCACAAGCGGGGGUGCUCCUGCUGUCUUCUAUUUGUAUUUCUAGGAAUGUGUCUUCAGAGGUGGUAAGGGUGUUUAAAUGUCUGCCUGCCUUCUGCAUAAACACCUUAACAUGGCUCAAGAUCUGGCUCCAGAACAUCUUUCUUGCCACUCCCUCUGCCCCGUCACAGCUCCUGAAAGAGGCCAUUCACCCUUCUAUUCACCCAGGCCAUCACCAGUGCUUAUUGGGUGUGCCUCGUCUUAGGCACUGAGACGAAGAGCUGAUGAAGACAGAGUUCCUCCCUCUGAACUCUUCGCUGGCCUUCAGUACUCUCCAGGUUUUGUGCAUGUGGCUCUCCACCUUGGAAUGCUUUUCCUUCCCUCCCUCCCUUUCUUCCUUUCCUUCCUUCCUUCCAUCCGUCUUUCCCUUCUUCCCUGCCUCCCCUUCCACUCCCUCCCCACUAUUGCUCCUCCCUUGGUGGCCCAAGCCACAUCAUUUAAUAUUAAUCAGACCAGUGCUGGGGGCGGGAUGGUGGGGUGGGGAGGAAGGUCCCUCUAAUGAUUUACUCUGCAACUGGCAAUCCGUUAGACUGUGUGUUGGGGCUUAAUGUGUGAUUUCAUGCAUUUUCACGGUCUCUAAAUUGCAAAUCCAAGAUUAUUUGAAAACAUUUUAUUUAAUUUUCAUGCUUUUUUAAUCAAAAAGUUAAAAGAAUAAUAAUCUUUUAUGGGCAGUUAUAAGUGUGCUAUUUACACACAAGACAGAAAUAUCUCCCUUAGCUGAGCAAUCUAAGUGUGUGCUUAGAGAGGACUCCAUAAGAAUACUAAUGAGAAAAGGCAGAAUGUGCUUGGAGACAACUUAAUUCAUUCUUCUGGGAAAUGUCUGUCUAGGUGGAGUGGGAUUCUCCAGGUUCAUUCCUCAGCCCUACCAGCCUCUGCAGAUGGGAGGGACUUGGCGGUGAGCACCUGGUAGUUGUAGGGCUGCUGUCUGGGCCAUCUUUCCAUCCCUGGAGCCUCGCUUGGUGUCUGUCAUGUGGAAGGCAUGCAGGAAAUGUGUGUCGGUUAAGUGAGUAAACGGCUGAGUGAAGGAUUCUCCAUACUCUCCCUUGGCAGUCCAAGAUGAGAUCUGUACACAUUCUUUUUUUUUUUUUUUUUUUUUUUUCACAUUGCCAUUGGAGAUAGAAGCAGCAGACACAGCUGAGCUCCUGGCUUGGUGAAGGGCACACCAAGGGGAUGUGGGGUGCUGGGAUGUUUGCCAACUGUUUUUCACUUUUGUGAGAAUCAUUAUUUACCUAUUGCUUGAUUCAGAAUCCCAGACCUAGAAGGACUUUAGAAACUUGAAGUUCAGCUUUUUUACUUUACAAGAUGAAUGACAAAGUCAAAGUGAGGAAACUCCUUGAUAAAGGACAAAGCCAAGACUUAAAUCCCAGUAUCCUGCUCACUCCUAACUAGGUAGAGACAAUCUUUUUUUCCUCAUAUUAUUUCUUUCAUCUAUUGGUGUGUGCUAUCUCACCCAACUUUUCCCAAAUCCUGCACCUUCUGGGAUUGCUGGGGAUGACAGCAGCAUCUUUUUCCUUCCUCCUUCAACUUUGCACUGUUCUCUCUUCUGUGUAAGGAGUCUGGGGAUAAAACACUCUGGAAACCCAAGGAAACUGGACAAAGUCCUCUACAUCCAUAGGCCACACAUGUGGAUAAAGAGAGAUGCCAUCCUAUCUCUGCCUGGAAAGGAGACCCAGCCACACACACAGAACUGGUCUAGCUGAGGACUUCUGACAAACAUCUCCCCGUGGCAUUCACUUAUUCAUUCAUAGUUACCAAGUACCUACCAUGAGCCAAACACAAUGACAGCUGGAAAUUCAGACAGCAAAGCCAGAGUCCCUACUCUCAAGGACAGCCCAGUCUAGAGAGGAAGACAGUUUCCUGGCUGUGUUGUGGUGAGACACACACCAAAGGGAGCUUGGUGAGUGACAACGCCCAAUGGAGGUAAAAGUCCACCCCUAAAUAGAAAAAGUCCCAAAUUAAAUACUGUUGCUCCCCUCAGUGCUAUAUUCAACAUCUACUUUGACAUCCUUUUCAGUCAUUUAAAAGAUAGCUUGAAGCCUGCUCCUGGUGCUGAUGCACCCCAUGGAAGAAAGAUGGCUAGGAAUAUAUUGUUGUGGCAGGUAAGGGAUCUGUUAUGUACCUUAACACCUGGGUGCCUUGAGCUCCUGGUACCUGGUGAGUCUGGGCAGCUCUUAUGUUGGGACCAGACUGUUUUGAGCUGAUUAAAAAUAAUUGAAAAAUUUCCAAAGUGCACACAGAUGAUUUGUGGGCUCUAGUGUGUUGGUUGCGUGGGUGAGAGGAUAAAAUAUGUACUUGGUAUAAGUGAGCUUAAGUGGGAAGUUAAUGGUGUGUGAUUGAGCAGCAAUUACAGCCAAAUCUCAGUUCCCUGUGGUCACAGCAAGGGUGGGAGAUUUGUGGAGGACACAGAUAAAUAAAACAGAUAAGCAAGUAUCUCCUUUUAGACAGUAACUCCAACUUUUUUAUGGCUCAGCUUUUAGCCAGGGUGAUAACUCUAGGGCUAAACUGCCAGGAUGUGGGACUUGUCAUAUCCCAUUCCUGCCCACCCUGCUGGAAAGGGAAGGGCAGAGAGUUCAGAAGGAGGGGAGGACAACUACAAGAAGCUGUGAACCCUUAGGGACCAAGAGCUUUGUUCGUCUUACUUCUGGGUACCAGUGCCUAGCAGAGGGCUGGCCUGUAGUACCCCACGCUCUAUCAGAGUUUUGAGAUGAGUGAAUGGUCAGCCACAGCGUAAAUAACUCAUGGUGGAGUUGAUUGUCUGGGAGUUGAUUUUCUGGGAGCUGAUUAUAUGGAGGGAAGACAGAAAUGUUGUGGCUUAUUUUGAGAUCUAGCAAGAAAGCUUCAGGUCUGCUCAGGGAAAGAAGGGCUUCAUCCCUAGGAGUGAAACUGACCUGAGAAGAUACAGGAGCUAGUCAUUAUCCCUUCACUGACCUCAGGGUCUACAGGCUAAGUUCCUUUCAACAACCUGUGGGCAAGCAACCAGGACCUGCUAACCCCAACUGCUAGUCAUGAGCUCGGUAGGAAUGAACGUUUCUGUAGGAGCUUGUGAAACACACUGGUAGUUUGCUGUUGGCUUCCCUGUGUAUCCAUCACUCUGUCAGCAGUCAUGUGCCUGUGCUUCCGGAAUGACAGUCACUGAUUCAAGCUUUCAGUCAUGUGAGGCAAAGUCAGGACCAAGGUCGAGACACUCCCCAAAGGACAGGAAUUGCUGGGGCAGGCAGGAUUUGUGCUGGGAAAGCCAUAGGGGGAGGUGAGCUCCUGGACACACAUGAUAAUAUUGUGACAUAUCUACAGGCUUCACAGUGAGUGCGGCCCAGGUUGAAUGUACAAAUUGGUUAUCAAUGACACAAUCAGGGCUUCAUUAAGAGAUACAGGAAUUUGCCCUGUGCUUAUGAGUAGCAUGGGGUUGUGAGGAGCAUGGGAAAAAGGUUUUAAAAUGUCAUAGUUUCCCUUCUUGCCCUCACUUGCUUUCUCCCAGCUCUAUUGGAAAGGGAUAGAAUGAGUAAGCCAUUCUUUCAUGAGUAUUAAAGUCAGGGAAGACUUGGAUCCUCUCCUGGCUGGGCUGUGAUAAGCGACAUGAACUUGGGUGAAAUGCCAAAGGCUUUCUGAAUGAUUUUACUCGUCUGCAAGAUACAACACAAAUGCCCAACUCUGAAUUUAUUACUAAACAAUAAAAUAGAUGUAAAAUACAUAUCAUAGUGUCUGGCAUUCAGAAAUCUAUUGUUUAUCAUUCCAGGGUUUGUGAUGAUGCCAGGAGAUACCAUUAGGAUCUGUGCUGGGACCAGUUUCCUUUGAGAUGUCGUGUCGAGUAUCAUAAAGGCAUGAAAGCCAAAAAAUAUGCUUCCCUGGCCAAAUGUCCCUCCCUCUUUGCUAAUGACAAACCAGGGAGGUUGACCUUAGUAGCCAUGGAUAGCAACAUGCCAUAGAUGCUCCGUCAAGCCCCUGCCCAGUGCAUAGGUCUGCCACGAUCUGACUGAGGGGAGGGUGAGGAAGUUAGGAGGGGGCAUGGCAUGAAUGACCAGGGAGGGUGAAGUGCCUAUUGCAUGGGGUAAUGCUUUUGUCAGGGUGGGGAGAGGGAGUAGUGCCCCAGGUACCCAUUCUUUUGAGUAAUAAUGAUGUCAUCAUGACAGCCCUGUUAAAAUUCCCUGGUGGCAAAUACUGGGUUUCUAUUCAUCAUCUUCAUUAGAUUCCCAGUUCUGAUUGGGGCACUUUCUCUAAUGAUCUGGCCAAAACGUCCCCAGGGGCUAGCAUGGUGACUGCUAAUGUUUGGAACUGCCACACAUUGCUUUUUAAAAACUUUUUCUAAUUAGGAAAGCAAUUUCUUUUUUUUAUUAAAAAAUUUGCAUACCUGCUUCUCU